GCCGAAGUGGUGGAAUUGGUAGACACGCUAGCUUGAGGGGCUAGUGAGCAUAAUUCGCUCGUAGGGGUUCGAGUCCCCUCUUCGGCA
rnacentral:tRNA from 1 species